rnacentral:lncRNA from 1 species
GAAUGUCAUAGUUUGGAUUGGAUUCAGGCCAAUUAACCUGUGCUGAGGGACUUGCGCAAGAUUUUUCCAGGCUUAGGAGCUAACCUCGAUCAGAUCUUUCCAGGACACUUAAGGAGAACUUGAAGGUCAAGAGUCUCUGGAAGAGAAGUGUUCAGACUGAGAAGGUGUGCCAGAGGAUCAGUCAGUCCUCAGGUAUACCUUCAAAGCAACUACUUCCUAUUUCUACCUCCUUGAGAAAGGCACAAAAUAUCCCCAUCUACAUCCUGUUUUGGUACCAGACUGAUGAAGAAGAAACUAAAAAGAAAGGACAGUUGGCCAACAGAAAAGUGCCAUGGAAGCGACAGAGCCAUGCUCUAAUAGAUCAAGUACAAGGCAGAUGAAGACUUGCUCCAGAUCCUUCACUGUUCAAAGGCUAAGAUGUUCUGAUGACGAGUUUCUAAUAGCUACAGCAGGCAUCCCAAACAGUUUAUUCUCCAGCAGAUUGCAGACGGAUAAAUUCUGACUCUGUCAUGCCACAAUGUUUAGGUGAAAAAACCAUAGGAGGCAAACAGGACCUGAAUAUUCAGAGGACUGGAUGAAUAACACACACAUGGGGGAAUGGUAAUUAACACCCAUGGACAGAGACCCAGUGAACGACGGAGGAUACAGCAGUGCUUAGAGG